GGCCUAACACAUGCAAGUCGAGCGGUAGCACAAGGAGCUUGCUCCUGGGUGACGAGCGGCGGACGGGUGAGUAAUGUCUGGGAAACUGCCCGAUGGAGGGGGAUAACUACUGGAAACGGUAGCUAAUACCGCAUAACGUCUUCGGACCAAAGUGGGGGACCUUCGGGCCUCACACCAUCGGAUGUGCCCAGAUGGGAUUAGCUAGUAGGUGAGGUAAUGGCUCACCUAGGCGACGAUCCCUAGCUGGUCUGAGAGGAUGACCAGCCACACUGGAACUGAGACACGGUCCAGACUCCUACGGGAGGCAGCAGUGGGGAAUAUUGCACAAUGGGCGCAAGCCUGAUGCAGCCAUGCCGCGUGUGUGAAGAAGGCCUUCGGGUUGUAAAGCACUUUCAGCGAGGAGGAAGGGUUCAGUGUUAAUAGCACUGUUCAUUGACGUUACUCGCAGAA
rnacentral:rRNA from 1 species